rnacentral:rRNA from 1 species
GACGAACGCUGGCGGCGUGCCUAAUACAUGCAAGUUGAGCGCUGAAGGUUGGUACUUGUACCAACUGGAUGAGCAGCGAACGGGUGAGUAACGCGUGGGGAAUCUGCCUUUGAGCGGGGGACAACAUUUGGAAACGAAUGCUAAUACCGCAUAAAAACUUUAAACACAAGUUUUAAGUUUGAAAGAUGCAAUUGCAUCACUCAAAGAUGAUCCCGCGUUGUAUUAGCUAGUUGGUGAGGUAAAGGCUCACCAAGGCGAUGAUACAUAGCCGACCUGAGAGGGUGAUCGGCCAAAAUGGGACUGAGACACGGCCCAAGACCCUAAGGGAGGCAGCAGUAGGGAAUCUUCGGCAAUGGACGAAAGUCUGACCGAGCAACGCCGCGUGAGUGAAGAAGGUUUUCGGAUCGGAAAACUCUGUUGGUAGGGAAGAACGUUGGUGAGAGUGGAAAGCUCAUCAAGUGACGGUAACUACUCAGAAAGGGACGGCUAACUACGUG